UGAGGAAUAUUGGGCAAUGCCCGCAAGGGUGACCCAGCAACGCCGCGUGGAGGAUGAAUGUCGUAAGAUUGUAAACUCCUGUUAGAGGGGAAGAAUAGUACCGGUUGGACCGAUAUAUGACUGUACCCUCAGAGAAAGCCCCGGCUAACUACGUGCCAGCAGCCGCGGUAAUACGUAGGGGGCAAGCGUUGUCCGGAUUUACUGGGUGUAAAGGGCGCGCAGGCGGGAUAAAAAGUCAGUGGUGAAAUCCUACAGCUUAACUGUAGAACUGCCUUUGAUACUUUUAUUCUUGAGUUCGGGAGAGAGAGACGGAAUUCCAGGUGUAGUGGUGAAAUACGUAGAUAUCUGGAAGAACACCAGUUGCGAAGGCGGUCUCUUGGUCCGACACUGACGCUGAGGCGCGAAAGCGUGGGGAGCAAACA
rnacentral:rRNA from 1 species